CCGCACAAGCGGUGGAGCAUGUGGUUUAAUUCGACGCAACGCGAAGAACCUUACCAGGGCUUGACAUCCCCUGACCGCGUAUGAAAGUACGUUUUCACCCUCGGGUGACAGGGAGACAGGUGGUGCAUGGUUGUCGUCAGCUCGUGUCGUGAGAUGUUGGGUUAAGUCCCGCAACGAGCGCAACCCCUACGUUUAGUUGCUAACAGGUGAAGCUGAGCACUCUAGACGAACUGCCGUUGACAAAACGGAGGAAGGUGGGGAUGACGUCAAAUCAUCAUGCCCCUUAUGUUCUGGGCUACACACGUGCUACAAUGGCCGGUACAGACGGAGGCGAAGCCGCGAGGCGGAGCAAAUCCGAAAAAGCCGGUCUCAGUUCGGAUUGCAGGCUGCAAUUCGCCUGCAUGAAGUCGGAAUCGCUAGUAAUCGCAGGUCAGCAUACUGCGGUGAAUACGUUCCCGGGCCUU
rnacentral:rRNA from 1 species